AUAUAUAUAUAUAUAUAUAUAUUAUAGAGCUACUAUGCUAUCGGAAAUAUAGAGAAUCUGAUGUUUUCAACUUUUUUACAAUUGGAUCAAAAAUUAUACGGUUGGGAUGAUUGCGGUCCCCCCCAAGGUUGAGUAGUACCCCUAGGGUUGAGUGAUCCCCACAGGUUAAUAGUAUUAAUCCAAAGAUUAGAAAUGAUUAAAAUAGUUGAUCUAAGAGCGAAAAAAUCGAAAGUAUUAGAUCUUCUAUACUUCCAAUAGCAUAGUAACUUUACUCUCUCUCUCUCUCUCUCUAUAUUAUAUAUAUAGAGAGAGAGAGAGAGAGAGAGAGUUUGGCUAUUAUAGUAUCGAUAGUACCAACCCCUUGGCACUAUUGAGUUUUCUACUGUUAGAUCUACCCUUUGAUCAUUUCUACCUGUUAGAUUAUACUAUUAAGCCAACCACCCACUCAACCCUAGGAGACCGCUAUCAAUUUAACCGGAGACCACUAUCAUCCUAACAGCACAUCCUUUUAUCCAACGGCCGAAAACUCAAUAGUACUAAGAGCUUGAUAUUAUUGAUAGUAUAGUAGCAUAAUUCUAUAUAUAUAUAUCAGCUUUGAGAUUCCAAC
rnacentral:lncRNA from 1 species